rnacentral:piRNA from 1 species
UUUCAGGUUAUGACAGCUCAA